rnacentral:rRNA from 1 species
GACGGAGGGUGCUAGCGUUGUUCGGAAUCACUGGGCGUAAAGGGCGCGUAGGCGGCCUUGCAAGUCGGUUGGUGAAAGCCCGGGGCUCAACCCCGGAGGUGCGGCCGAGACUGCAGGGCUGGAGGCCGGAAGAGGAGGGUGGAAUACCCAGUGUAGAGGUGAAAUUCGUAGAUAUUGGGUGGAACACCGGUGGCGAAAGCGGCUCUCUGGU